rnacentral:tRNA from 1 species
GGCCGCCUGGGCCCGGGCGAGCUCGGCCGCCUGACGCGCGGCCUUCUCCUGCCGCUGCUUCUCGAUCGCCGCGAGACGCGCCUUC